rnacentral:rRNA from 1 species
UACGGGAGGGGGCUAGCGUUAUUCGGAAUUACUGGGCGUAAAGGGCGCGUAGGCGCCCGCUAAGUCGAACGUGAAAUCCCUGGGCUCAACCCAGGAACUGCGUCCGAUACUGGCGGGCUUGAAUCCGGGAGAGGGAUGUGGAAUUCCAGGUGUAGCGGUGAAAUGCGUAGAUAUCUGGAGGAACACCGGUGGCGAAGGCGGCAUCCUGGACCGGUAUGACGCUGAUGCGCGAAAGCCAGGGGAGCAAACGGGG